rnacentral:rRNA from 1 species
UACGUAGGGUGCGAGCGUUAAUCGGAAUUACUGGGCGUAAAGCGUGCGCAGGCGGUUCGUUGUGUCGGCGGUGAAAGCCCCGGGCUUAACCUGGGAAUGGCCGUCGAAACUGGCGAACUGGAGUGUGGCAGAGGGGGGGGUGGAAUUCCGCGUGUAGCAGUGAAAUGCGUAGAGAUGCGGAGGAACACCGAUGGCGAAGGCAGCCCCCUGGGCUGACACUGACGCUCAGGCACGAAAGCGUGGGGAGCAAACAGG